UUGAGAAACACAUUAAUCAACCUAAAACCUUUCUGCUUCAUCCUAAUCUCUCUUCAGCCGCAGCUUCCUCGCCGGUGGUGGCUCCACCACCGUGUUCCAGCUUCUAGGCCUCCUCAACCGAAGUAUCUCCUCCACCCGCGAGUCCUUCUCCGCCCCCUCCCCCGCCGCCGCAAGCCCCUUUUCAUCUGACAAGAAUCACCUCAUCCGUCGCAAGCACGCCUCUGGCACAAACUUUUGCGAGCCUAUGUACGCUCCCAUCACCCAGGAGAUUUAGUGUGGAAUUUGGUUUAUCCAAUUUGAGAGAACACGAUUUCAAAGUGAUAAAGCUAAAGCAGUGCAUUUGCAAUUUCAAAGUGCUAGGAAGUCCCAAGUUGGAAGACUUGAAGCACAGCAAGGGCAACAAAGAAUGGUUUUAAAGUGGAAGAAUGCUUUGAGGAGUGGUAGAAGAUAUUGCUCCCCUUCUUUAUGGAUUUGUCGAUGUAACAUGCCUGCAAAGCAAUUGCUUGCCAUUUUCUAUAAAAAAAAUUGUAAAUUGAUCUCAUUAACUCUCUUAUUGUCUGUUUCAACCAAUAAAAUUAUGUCAUGUUAACUAACAAUGCAUGGAUAUGACAUUUUUAUAA